AUACGUAGGUGACAAGCGUUAUCCGGAUUUACUGGGCGUAAAGGGCGUGUAGGCGGUCUUGCAAGUCAGAAGUGAAAUUCCUGAGCUCAACUCGGGCGCUGCUUCUGAAACUGCAGGACUUGAGUGCUGGAGGGGAUAGCGGAAUUCCUAGUGGAGCGGUAAAAUGCGCAGAUAUUAGGAAGAACACCGGUGGCGAAGGCGGCGAUCUGGACAGUAUCUGACGCUGAGGCGCGAAAGCGUGGGGAGCAAACAGGAUUAGAUCCCCUGGUAGUCCACGCCGUAAACGAUGAAUACUAGGUGUAGGGGGUAUCGACUCCCUCUGUGCCGCAGUUAACACAAUAAGUAUUCCGCCUGGGGAGUACGGCCGCAAGGUUGAAACUCAAAUGAAUUGACGGGG
rnacentral:rRNA from 1 species